UACGGGGGGGGCAAGCGUUGUUCGGAAUUACUGGGCGUAAAGGGCUCGUAGGUGGCCAACUAAGUCGGACGUGAAAUCCCUCAGCUUAACUGGGGAACUGCGUCCGAUACUGGAUGGCUCGAGUUUGGGAGAGGGAUGCGGAAUUCCAGGUGUAGCGGUGAAAUGCGUAGAUAUCGUAAGGAAGACCAGUGGCGAAGGCGAAUCUCUGGACAGUUACUGACACUGAGGCACGAAGGCCAGGGGAGCAAACAGG
rnacentral:rRNA from 1 species